ACCUCGGUACAUCUCACUCGCAAGCUGCAAGAACACUGAACACACACCGAAGCACACUGCACUCACCAAAGACAUACACCUAGCUAGCUGGAUCGAGCAAUGGCUGCCGCACCUGCACGCACCUUCUCCCUCUUCUCCGUUGAGCCUCUCCUCCUUUCAGCUUCGCCGACGGCAGCCGCCAGAAACGAACAUGGAGGCCGCCCCCGAGGCGGUUCCAUCCGCCCUUUGGUGGCGGCGUCCAAAGCGCUGCUGCCCAUCAGUGAUUUUGACCUCCAGCAGGAGGGCCUGACGAGCAUACAGAAGAUUCUGCAGCAACGUCGGAGCAGCGCCCGGGAGAUGAUUACCACCAUUGACAACCUCAAGCGCCUCUGCAUCGACCACUACUUCGAGGAAGAGAUCGAGAGCGCCAUGGGCGCCUGCAUGGAUCUCAUCCACAGCGAUGAUCUCUUCGAUGCAACCCUUGCGUUAAGGCUCAUGAGAGAGGCCGGCCAUGAUGUUUCAGCAGCAGAUGAUGUUCUGAGGAGGUUCACCGACGACACCGGCGAGUUCAAGAUUGCUCUUAGCAACGAUAUAAGGGGCCUCCUGAGCCUGCAUGACAUGUCACACCUGGACAUGGGAGAUGAAGCAUCACUCAACAAAGCAAAGGAGUUCACAAGAAAGCACCUCGCAUCUGCCAUCAGGUACCUGGAGCCAGGCCUCGCAUGUUACGUGAGGCAGUCCCUGGACCAUCCCUACCACUUGAGCCUGAUGCAGUACAAGGCCAGGCACCACCUCAGCUACCUUCAGACCCUGCCCACCAGGGACACUGCAAUGGAGGAACUAGCAAUUUCAGAGUUCCAGCUCAACAAACGGCUGCAUCAGAAAGAAAUGCAGGAGGUUAAAGGAUGGUGGAUGGACCUAGGAUUGUUUCAUGAGAUACCUGUGGUGCGGGACCAGGUGCUGAAGUGGUAUAUGUGGACCACGGCAACCUUCCAAGGAUACUCCUUGUCAUCCUUUCAGAAAAGAAAAGGAUCCUCCUUGUCCAGAUACCGCAUUGAGACCACAAAGAUAAUCGCACUUAUCUAUGUUGUCGAUGACAUAUUUGAUCUUGUUGGCACACCACAGGAGCUCUCCCUUUUCACUGAGGCAAUAAAAAUAUGGAAUACCGAGGCUGCUGAUUUAUUGCCCAGCGGCAUCAGGUCAUGCUACAAGACUAUUUACACCUCUACGAACGAGAUUGCAAACAUGGUGGAAGAGGAGCAUGGAUUCAACCCUGUCAAUCAUCUCAAGAAUUCAUGGGCGGUGCUGUUUGAUGGAUUCAUGAUAGAGGCAAGAUGGCUGGCAACCGAUCAGGUUCCUACCGCAGAAGACUACCUGAGAAAUGGUGCUGUCACCUCAGGAGUACCGCUUACAUUAGCGCACAUAUUCGCCAUGCUAGGUUAUGAUCAAAGUAAUGAAGCUGCAGAGCUCGCUGACCACAUCCCUUCCAUCAUCUCUUGCCCGGCCAAGAUCCUCAGGCUUUGGGAUGACUUGGGCAGUGCAGAGGAUGAAGCACAGGAAGGACUGGACGGAUCAUACAGGGAUUUCUACAUGAUGGAAAACCUUAGCUGCACUCAGGCCGACGCCGAAGAACACAUGCGUGGCUUGAUCGCGAGGGAGUGGGAGGAGCUCAACAGGGAGGGCUUCUCCAGGAGGACCUUCGCCUCUAGGUUCACGCAGGUUUCCUUGAACGCCGCCAGGAUGGUCGGCGUCAUGUACUCGUACGACAAGGAUGGUCGGCUCCUUGUUCUCGAGGACUACGCGAGGAUGCUGCUGCUUUGAGAAACUACGUACUGUGAUCAAUGAGAACAACCUAUCCGUCAUGGGUGAUCUGCAAGUUAACCUAGGUGACACUUAACUUGUUAGUGAGAAGCUUUGCUAAUUCCAAGUGUAUUUUUUUGUACGACCAAACGUGCAGUGGCAAUUUGUUCAGGAGACAGCAGCAGUGCAGGACCAGCUAGGACCAUGCAAAUUCAGAUCUGCCUUCAGGACCAGCUAGUAGGUCGAACAAAAUGUGCAAGAAUCUUAUGCAUGUGUAGUAUAUACUGUACAAUAACAAACGUGUCCCCUGAGCAAGGAAGUGCAUGGAUGUGCGGCUAGCGCAGCCACAUUAGGCCAUCGUUUUCAUGUCCCUGAGCAAGGGAGACGUACUGGGUGCAAGGGUGGAGGACGAUGUGCUUCCUCAAGCCGUAUCGCGAGUCGACCACAUGGGCAGACAAAUUUCCCAUGUUUGGCUGCGCGACGCCUCAAUAAUGCAUGUCGUCUGAAUACAAGGUUGGUCUCAUGCAUGGUCUGAUCUGGUCCUCCAAAGAAAGGAGCCAGUGUGAUAGGCCAGCCAGCAUGUGUGUGACACUGCACGCUGUGCCGUGCAGCUGACUCGGCUGGUCGCCAUUGUACCGACACACGUGGACCUAUAGGGCAGCGCGCGUUGGGCCGGAAGAGUUGCGACACCGUACCAGCUGAUUUGUCGCUUAUUAGUUGCUGCUGCUGCAGCAGCUAUAGCUUCGUGCCGUCGUCGAUCUGGCUCCUGAAUAUAAUCCGAGUUUCUUUAUUUUAA